rnacentral:rRNA from 1 species
AGAGUUUGAUCCUGGCUCAGGAUGAACGCUAGCGGCAGGCUUAACACAUGCAAGUCGAGGGGCAGCAAGGGUAGCAAUACCUGUUGGCGACCGGCAAACGGGUGCGGAACACGUACGCAAUUUACCUUUAUCUGGGGCAUAGCCCGAAGAAAUUCGGAUUAAUACCCCAUAAUAUAUUUUUAUGGCAUCAUAAUGAUAUUAAAACUCCGGUGGAUAGAGAUGAGCGUGCGUCCCAUUAGCUAGUUGGUAGGGUAAAGGCCUACCAAGGCGACGAUGGGUAGCUGGUGUGAGAGCACGACCAGCCACACGGGCACUGAGACACGGGCCCGACUCCUACGGGAGGCAGCAGUGAGGAAUUUUGGACAAUGGGGGCAACCCUGAUCCAGCCAUGCCGCGUGCGGGAAGAAGGCCUUCGGGUUGUAAACCGCUUUUAGCCGGGACGAAAGCUGUACGGAUAACACCCGUGCAGGUUGACGGUACCGGCGGAAUAAGCACCGGCUAACUACGUGCCAGCAGCCGCGGUAAUUC